UUAUGCCAAUGUCAAAUUGGCGAUCUGGAAUGAUUUCUCCGUGACGCCAUCAGACCAGCUUAAAUACGGGACUAAUCGCGUCCCAUAUUGAUUCAAUACGGGACGCAUCCCGUAUUUUACAGGACGGGUGGAAACCCUACUUUAAACCCAACCUUGCCAGGACAGUAGCCUACAUGACAGAUAAUAUUUUAUGUAAAAGGGCUGUAGCCUAUUAUGUGUAGAAAUAAUAUUGAAUUCGUUUGACAUUUCGUUGCCAGCUUUUUUUUUUUUAACAAGACUUUGUACAUUUAAAAACCAAGUUAUACACAUUGUCCAGUACACCAUAAUCAAAUAAUCCAUUUGAAUUAAGGUAAUUUAUAAAAUCAUAGGGGCUGAUUGCAUUUAUGAAGUACGCGACCAAGUUUCUUCGGACUUAGGCCGUUCUACGUCGUAAACCAAACGCGCCAAACAUGUCUUCAGCGGUACAUGAGAACGUUGAGAAUUUGUAUUCUGGAGACGUCAGAAGACCUGCAAACCAAUGCUGCCUGUGUCAUGCCCUCCAGACUCCUGCCCAAGAGCGCAUGUGAAGCCCUAAAUCAAGUCCACCCAGAUGUUUGUAAAAGGUAUUUUGGUUGUGGUCUGGUGGUACCUGAGAAGUUGGAAGGUUGUAAGAGAGACUGUGUCAGCAAACUGAUGGGGGAGAGUGGUCAUGACAUUGGAUUGGAUACGACGGACGAGAUGGCACUUCAUCAUAGUUCCAACAUUUUAACCAAGCUUAAUAGUAAACAUUUCAGUAUUUGCACGACAGAGCAUGUCAAAUAUAGUUGAAAAACCUGGCAUAUUAGCCUAAAUAAACAUUGUUUUGCAAAUAAAUAUUUAUCUAACUAGUAGGCUAUAUGUGAAAUAUACGCUAAUAAGAUGUCAUAUUUAGCAUUAAAACAUUAACAACAGUUACCUGUCGCCCAGUGCUAUGUUGAAACUACAUCAUAUGUCAAUGUGUGCUCCAUAAUUAGAUAGUUGCCUCACAAAAAUUUGUCCUGUACCAUCAGGAGAAUUUUGGAUAUUUAAAAACAAACACUGUGUUUGUGAAAGGAUACAUGGAGCAGCUCAGUGAUGCAGGGAUACAGAACAACUCAUUGGAUGUAAUUGUGUCAAAUUGUGUAAUAUGUCUGUGCCCAGAUAAGAGAACUGUGAUAAGCAAAGCUUACAAAGUUUUAAAGGAGGGUGGGGAGUUGUACUAUAGCGACAUGUAUGCAAGCAAAGUAGUUCCAUACUCUUUCAAGGAAGAUCCAGUUCUUUGGGGUAAACAUUGAUAUAUUAAUAUUUACAAAUAGCCAGACUUUUUUUCAUUCUAAGAUGACUUCAUUUGUUACAUUUUAGAAUUUUAGAACCACACUGCAUUCAUUUAUGGGGUUGAUUAGCCUGAUUUACUGGAAAAAAUAGCGACAUUUUUCAUCAAUGUAUUUUCAUUUAUUUCAUCAAUAUAAUGCAUUGCAUCACAUUGUGCUCUCACAGUAAAAACUGGUCAUGGUAUGCAAACUAGAAUGUUGUCAUUGAUUCAAGUUAUGAAAAAAUAUGAAAUGUGUCACGUCCAUGCAAGUGUGCAUUAGAUUUAUCCAGUGUUUUAUAAAGUAUCCAUUCGUCAUACUUAAGUAAAAGUAAAGAUACCUUCAUGGAAACUGACUCAAGAAAAAGUAUUAAAGUAACUGAUUUUAAAUUUAUUUUGUUAUCAAAAGUACAUAAAUUAAUUAAACUCGUGGGAACUUAUAUGAUUGGUGUGGCCAUGCUGGAGAUUAUGAGUUAGCUCAAGUACUGUUUGACCAAUCAGUCAGCAAGUAAAUGCAGUCAUCUUUUGCAAAAUAACAAAGUAAACAACAUGAAUUAAAGGGAUAGUUCACCCAAAAAUGAAAAUUCUCAUCAUAUACUCAC